rnacentral:lncRNA from 1 species
CCUCCCCUCCGUUUCUGCGCACAACUCCCUCGGUCCCCUCUUCUCUCUCCACUUCUCUUUUCUUUCUCUUGCGUCUGCCAUGGCUCGAGCUCGAGUCUGCUCAUGGCCGCUUCAGGUCGAGGAGGGACGGUGCGCCGCCGGACGGAGACCGCAUUGAGCUUCGUUUGCAGUGAGAUGGCUUGAGGCCGAGCUCGAAACUCGAGCGCUAACCAAAGCUCCGAGUUUGAGGUCGAGCGAGUGUUGUCCAUGGCUGGUUGCAAGUGUCGUCCAUGGUGGACAGGAAAAAACAAUGCCCAAGAACAGGCGAGGACGACCCACAUGAUGAAAUCGCAUUAAAUAAGGAAACAGAAGCCGACCCGAUACGCCUACGCGUCCGUUUACAAAACCCAUUUGCUCAUUUCCUCCUCCCAGUUCCGCGUCCGACCCCGCCUGCUGAAAUUCUUCAAGAAAGUUUGGGUUUUUAUUUUUCAUUUCAUCU